AACGAACGCUGGCGGCGUGCCUAAUACAUGCAAGUCGAACGCAGUGGGGACGGGUGAGUAACACGUGGGUAAGCUCCCAUCAGAGGGGAUAAAACUUGGACACAGGUGCUAAACCGAUAGUGAUGGAGGGACCCGAGGUGCAUUAGCUAGUUGGUGAGGUAACGGCUCACCAAGGCAACGAUGCAUAGCCGACCUGAGAGGUUGGUCGGCCAAACUGGAACUGAGACACGGCCCAGACUCCUACGGGAGGAAGCAGUAGGGAAUCUUCGGCAAUGGACGAAAGUCUUACCGAGCAAUGCCGCGUGUGUGAAGAAGGUUUUCGGAUCGUAAAACUCUGUUGUUAGAGAAGCGGUAUCUAACCAGAAAGCCACGGCUAACUACGUGCCAGCAGCCGCGGUAAUUC
rnacentral:rRNA from 1 species